CCCUCCUCCAGGAGCCUCAACACCCUCAGCCCUCAGAGCUCCGGCCGCAGCCUCUGGAUGAGGACAGGGAUGGAGCACAAGGUGUCCCCCCCUGCCCUCCCCCCUGAGGUGGACACAGCGGUGGCCGCGCGGCAAAGGGCCCUGGUGGCCCUGGUGGCUUUGUCUGAGGCCCUGGGGACACCGGACAGUGUCCCAUCUGCGCUGGCCGAAGCCGUGGCUGCCCUGGACCAGGCCCAGGAGGCCCAGAGGGGACUGGAGAGGGCCCGGGAGGCCGCGGUGGCCCCGGCAGUGGCACUGGGAACCCUGGGGGAUGAGAACGAGCAGAGGCUGUGGCAGCUCGGGGCCGUGGCCAAGGCGGCGGCGGCGGCGCUGGAACGUGAGGAGAGACGGGCACGGCGGUGCCAGCGCUGGCUGCAGGCUGGGCACAGGCUGGCCGUGGGGCUGAUGGUGCUGUGCGGGGCUGUGUUGUCCCUGGACUCGGUCCGCGUUGCCCUGGGGGUGAGCGAGGACAAUCACCUGCUGAUGGCCCUGGCCGCGGUGGCCGUGUCCUGCGAGGUGGCCAGGCAGGGUUUGGGGACAUCGCGGCGUCACCUGGCCACCGCCGCGAGCCACCAGCGGGACAUGGCCCGGCGCCUGCGGGACCGUGCC
rnacentral:lncRNA from 1 species